rnacentral:lncRNA from 12 species
UUUAAAGCAAAUAUGUCGCAUAUGAUUCCUGUUUCCUGAAGCCAUUCUGUAAAUCCCAGGGGUUCAUUUAGCUAAGGUAGCAUGAACCAAAUUCUGGGCCAGGUGGUGUGAACAGACAGGCACUAAGGACACAUGAGGAGAACCUGCAGGAGCUUUAGCUCUGAUCCUCAGUACAAAAUACAGCCUCCUCCAAGUGUCCAUUAAGAGAUGAACAGCAUGGGAAAUAGGAAGAAAGUCUCCCACAUCCCAGCCCAGUGUCC